rnacentral:rRNA from 1 species
AUUGAACGCUGGCGGCAUGCUUUACACAUGCAAGUCGAACGGUAACAGGCCGCAAGGUGCUGACGAGUGGCGGACGGGGGAGUAAUGCAACGGAACGUGCCCAGUCGUGGGGGAUAACUACUCGCAAGAGGAGCUAAUACCGCAUACGAGCUAUGGAUGAAAGCGGGGGACCGUAAGGCCUCGCGCGAUUGGUGCGGCCGAUGUCAGAUUAGGUAGUUGGUGGGGUAAAGGCUCACCAAGCCAACGAUCUGUAGCUGGUCUGAGAGGACAACCAGCCACACUGGGACUGAGACACGGCCCAGACUCCUACGGGAGGCAGCAGUGGGGAAUUUUGGACAAUGGGCGCAAGCCUGAUCCAGCAAUGCCGCGUGCAGGAAGAAGGCCUUCGGGUUGUAAACUGCUUUUGUACGGAAAGAAACGGCUCUGGUUAAUACCCGGGGCUAAUGACGGUACCGUAAGAAUAAGCACCGGCUAACUACGUG